rnacentral:rRNA from 1 species
UACGUAGGGUGCAAGCGUUAAUCGGAAUCACUGGGCUUAAAGCGUGUGUAGGCGGAUCGGUAAGUACCUUGUGAAAUCCCACAGCUUAACUGUGGAACUGCUUGGUAUACUGCCAGUCUUGAGCCAGCUAGGGGCUACCGGAACAAAUGGUGGAGCGGUGAAAUGCGUAGAUAUCAUUUGGAACGCCAAUGGUGAAAACAGGUAGCUGGGGCUGUGCUGACGCUGAGACACGAAAGCCAGGGGAGCGAACGGG